rnacentral:rRNA from 1 species
CGGACGGGUGAGUAACGCGUGGGUAACCUGCCUCAUACAGGGGGAUAACAGUUGGAAACGACUGCUAAUACCGCAUAAGCCCACGGCUCGGCAUCGAGCAGAGGGAAAAGGAGUGAUCCGCUUUGAGAUGGCCUCGCGUCCGAUUAGCUGGUUGGUGAGGUAACGGCCCACCAAGGCGACGAUCAGUAGCCGGUCUGAGAGGAUGAACGGCCACACUGGAACUGAGACACGGCCCAGACUCCUACGGGAGGCAGCAUG